AACAUGGAUGAACCUUGAGGAUGUUAUGCUAAGUGAAGUAAGCCAAACACACAGGACGAAUGCCAUACGAGUCUCCUUAUAUGAGGGACCUGGAGUAGUCAGAUUGUUCAUAGACACAGAAAGUAGACUGUGGUUGCAGGGCCUGGGGGGAGGGGAAGAGGGAAGUUAGUGUUUAACGGGGACAGAGUUUCAGUUUGGGAAGUUGCAAAGUUCUCGAGGUGGAUGGUAGUCAUGGUUGUGUAACAGUGUGACUACACUUAAUGCUCAGAGCUGUACAUUUAUCCAGUGGUUAAGUGGACAUUAUAUGUUAUGUGUCUUUUACCAUGGGUUUGUUACAAAAAGGAUGCCUAGUAUAGUAGUUGAUUGGCGGAGGGGGGAUUCAAAUCGCAGCCACACCUCUUUGUGCAUUCUUCUGUCCAUGUGGCUUUAUUUCUCGUGUUCAGGUGCUGUAUGGCCAUGAGGGAAGCCAACAAGGUUGCUGCCCUGCUGAAGGCUCCAGGCAACAGGGGCAGACAGACCUUCACCAAGUCACAUCAUCAAAUACGGGCAUGACUUUCCUAUCAGUGAUUAGGUCUGUGACCUUGGACAAGCUGCUUCUCCUUUCUGAGUUCAUUUCCUUCUCUGUAAAAACAGGGACAAUCACAUGACUAGCAGUAAUGCUGGAGGCUCCACGAGCACCCUCUGAAUCGGCCGGGCGGGACUACUUAGCUCAGAAGGCCCUCCAUAUGGGUGAGUUCCUUUUCCGGAGUUCCACGUCAGAAAGAGAUGCUUGAGGACAACACUGACAUGAUUCAUGUUGCCCAGGGAUGGAGUCAGGCAGUGUAUAUACACAUAUUUUAAGUCAUGUACAAUCCUUUGACAUGCACAGAAGUUCUGGAUAAUUCACCAAGGUGUGAAGAUUGCGUGAUAGGAUGUCAGGUAGGAAUAUAUAUUUUUUUAAUAUUUAUUUAUCUAUUUAUUUUGGCUGUGAAGGGUCUUAGUUGUGGCACGCUGGAUCUUCAUUACGGCAUGUGGGAUCUUUAGUUGGGGCACGCGGGCUUCUUAGUUGCAGCGUGCGGACUCUUAGUUGCAGCAUGCAUGCGGGAUCUGGUUCCCCGACCAGGGAUCAAACCCAGGCCCCCUGCAUUGGGAGCGUGGAGUCUUACCCACUGGACCACCAGGGAAGUUCCAGGAAUUUUUUUCUUGAAUCCCUAUUAAGGGAUUUCUGGCUACAAGAUCUUGGGCAAAUAACCUGACGUCUCUAAACCUCAGUUCAGUUUCCUCAAGUGCAAACUAUGAGUGUUUUUCUUCUUUUUAACUCUUUAUUAUGGGAACGUUCAAGCCUUCACAAAAGAAGAAGAAAUAGUCUAGUGAACCUCCAUUACCCAGGGCCAAGAGGUAGCAAUAAAUUGCCAAUUUUGUUUCAUCUCUACCUCCCCACCCUUCCUCCGGCUGUUAUUUUAAAGCAAAUCCCAAACAAAGAGACUCUUAAAAAAAAAACCCACCACAAUACCAUUAUCGUGCCUAAAAUUUUUUAAAAAACAAUUUCUGAAAUCAUCUAAAGUCUGAUCAGUGUAUAAUCGUCCUCGGUUGUCCCAUAAAUGCUUUUUAAGUUUGAUUUGCUUGAAUCGGGAUUCACAAGAUCCACACAUUUCAUUUGCCUGAUAUAUCCAUUUCCCCAGAGUUUUGUUCUUUUCUUUUGGCUGUGUUGGGUCAUCGUUGCUGCGCACCGGCUUUCUCUAGUUGCGGCGAGCGGGGGCUACUCAUCGUUGCUGUGCAUGGGCUUCUCAUUGCGGUGGCUUCUCUUGUUGCGGAGCACGGACUCUAGGUGUGCAGGCUUCAGUAGGUGUGGCACGCGGGCUCAGUAGUUGUGGCGCACAGACUUAGUUGCUCCGCGGCAUGUGGGAUCUUCCCAGACCAGGGCUCGAACCCGUGUCCCCUGCAUUGGCAGGCGGAUUCUUAACCACUGCGCCACCAGGCAAAUCCCUUCCCCGGAGUUUUAAUAGGACAAUUUUCAAAUAUCCAGCGAAGGCAGAAGGAUUUUACAGUGAGCGCGUGUGUCACCCCCUAGGUUGAACCACUGACAUGUUUACUGUGCUUUGUCACUUGCCUAUCUACCUGUCUCUCUACAGUUGGUAGCACUUUUAAGUUUCUUUUAACCUCAACACUCUCCUUGCUGUCAUGUUUUUGUUUUGUUUUGUUGCCAUUUAUUUGUUGAAGAAAUCAUGUCAUUUGUCGUGUAGGAUUGCUCAUUUGAGGAUUAAAUGAGCUAAUAUGUGCAUAGUGCUUAGAAUGUAGUAGGUACCUAAUUAACAUCCAUUAUGACUUGUUUUGUUCUUCAUCCAUAUCUUCUGAUUUUUCCCAAGUGAAAAUAUAUCCUUUUUGUAAAAAAAAGUUUAAAAGCAUUCCUGGGCUGCUAGACUUUUCAAAGUUACGUUGAUUUGUAGCCACAAGGGGGUCUGUCUUCACUUUGUUUGCUGGGCCCACCCUAUCCACUAGGCCCUGAGGAAGGACCGCCAGCAUCGGGCAGUUGAAGAUGGCAGAAUGAGGGAGUGUCCAGGUGGGAAACAGAGCCAGAGGGGCUCAAAGGAAAUGCCCCGGGUGGAAUCUGGGGGCCAGGACCCAGGUCUGGCCCCUUCCUGGGGGCUGAGGGUGGUGACACCAGGAGGGAGGCCCAGAGGAAACGCAGUAAAGUGUGAAAAGCUGCAGAAAUCCCAGGAGAGGGUGGAAGCAACAGCACACAUCAUUGGGACGGCGAGGGAGCGCACAGCCUGGUUUCGAGGGGCUGGGGCAGAUGGGAAAGAGGAAGAUGAGCCUCCCCCAGGGACUUGACUCCACAGACUCCGACAACAGGCAGACAGAUGAGAAAUACAAAGGAUCCGGCCUCCUCCAUCAGCAGCUGGAGAAGAAAAGCAGGAGCUUGGGGGUGGGGGAGAGCUCUGGGUUGGGGGAUCAGGAGCUCUGAGCCUGGAUUUGCCACCCAUCCAUCACCUGUGUGGUCUUGGGUAAGGCUCCUUCUCUUCUCUGAACCUCAGUUUCUCCCACCUGCAAAAUAGGAGGGGUGGACCGAGAGCCCCAUAGGGCUUUCUUUUAGCUGUGGCAAGGCCAGUGUUCCGUCUCACUGACUGCUCCCUGGGGAUGAAGGAGGGCGUCGCAGCUGCUGGGACCUGGAGGCACUGGUGAUGCCCUCAGCACUUCUCCUUUCAAGGAGGCAAACACCCAGUCCAGGCUCAAAACUGUGAGUCACCAAGUCAAAGUACCAAAUGAAUACAGACUGUAGCUACACCGUCCUGGAUUCCACUGCUCACCCGGCCCCUUCCUGCCCUGUGAUCUUAGGUAGCAUUCCACAAAGGGUUGCUGAUGUCUGUCAAGGCUGAAGAAAUGGGCAGGACCGACUUUUCCUGAACCCAGAUCCUGGGCUUCCGAGAUGCAGCUAAUCAUCGGGGUAGGUGUGGCUGAUUCACCUUCGAGGAAAAUCUGCUGAAGAUUUUUAGCCAAACCAAAUAGAGAAGUGAAUAAAUAUAGAAAUGAAUCACUUGCCUGAAUCUCUGGCCCAGGACCCAGCCACCUGUCCACCAUCACCAUUGUGAAACCGCAAGGCCAGAGGUCACACCAGCCGGCUUUGAUGCCUGGGUCAUUGUCAUCCACGCUGAAUGAAAUUCAUUAGUCCAUUGUGAGCUGUUCAGGUUUAAUGCCUCUGCAGUUGCCUGAUGACACUGGAGCAUGGUGGAGAAGGUCAGACAAUGGGCCACCGUCUGAAUAAAAGCUCCCUAAUGCCCCGCCCAGGGUGCCCCAGUGGGUUCUCCUGAAUCACGGCUGCUUCCUGGGAACUGCUCCCAUGUGAGCUGGAGGACAGACUUGUGUCCAUGCCUGUUCCAGGGAAAACAGGAUGAGCAAAGCCUUCCAGGGCCAUGAGGAACCAGGGCGUUACGCCGGGGUCUUGGUGAAUACCUGGUUGCCGCAGCCUGACUUCCCCGUGUUUCUUUGCGUCUGCGAGGGUCUGCUCCCUGGAGUUAGUAGAGGAAAAUGUCCACUCCUCUCCUGUCAGCCCAAGCAGACUGCAGUUUCAGUUUCGUGCUGUGGUUGAAGAAAGAAGGCACCAGGAGUUGAGCAACCAUUUAUUUCCCUACCAUGUAUCGGGCACUGACUUCUUCCUAAACCUUGUUCUGGGCACUUUACAUGCAUUAUCUCAUUUGCUCGAUUGUGAGUAUCACGAUUGGGUCUCUGUUUCACAGAUGAAAAGACUGAGGUUCCGAGAGGUUAAGAGGUUUGGCUAGUAUCACCCACCUGAGUAAGGUGGACAGCUGGGCUCCAGAUCCAAAGUUUGUGCUUUCAGCCUCCUUCCCAUCCUACCUGGAGCCCCUGGAUGGCAUCCUUCUGCUCUCCUGCUCUGGGAUCUCGCACAAACCCUUGAUCGUGCCUCAGCUGAUGAAAGGGGGGUGUGGGGAAGUUUGGGAAGAGCCACACGUACUCCACACAUGUAACACGUUUCCCUGCCCCCCUCCGAUACUUCCUUUCCUUUUGCUUCUUAGCAACUGACUCAGAGCGGAUGAAGGGGAAAGAAGUGAGGUCACAUUUAAAUUGGUCAAUUUGAGCAGCUCACCGCAAAGGCUGGUGUGGGAGAGAGAUGCAAUUAAUCUGAAAAACACAGUGGUUUUUAUUUUUAAAAAUAUGAUCCAUGGCCUUCAGUCCUCCGUGGAGCUGUGCGAGGCAUCCACUUCCACGAGUCAGCAGCAGCCUGGCCUUCGGGCUCUUCAUAAAGUCCCCGUGAAUUUUAACACAAACGAAUGGCAUUCGUCUUCAUUUUAAAAA